rnacentral:rRNA from 1 species
GACAGAGGGUGCAAACGUUGUUCGGAUUUACUGGGCGUAAAGCGCGUGUAGGCGGCCUUGCAAGUCGGAUGUGAAAGCCCACGGCUCAACCGUGGAAGUGCAUCCGAAACUGCAUAGCUUGAGUCUCGGAGAGGAAGGUGGAAUGCUUGGUGUAGAGGUGAAAUUCGUAGAUAUCAAGCAGAACACCUGCGGCGAAAGCGGCUUCCUGGUCCGAUACUGACACUCAUGGACGAAAGCGCGGGGAGCAAACAGG